rnacentral:misc_RNA from 1 species
CAGCCAUAUCAUGCAACAUUUAGCAUAUGAUAGAUGUAGUUUGAAAUAAUUUCUCAAAAGGGGUUCCAAAAUCAAUAAAGAUGGUGUUCAAAUAUCUAAAAUAAUUUGAAAUUAGACAAGUGAAGGCAAUUUUACAACCAUGACAAGAAACAGAGCAUGACGCACACUCAUUUUGUACAAUGCAGUGAAGAGUUGCACUAUAAUUUUCCUUUUACAGCCAUCUGGCUUCUUUAUAACUGAAUGGUUAGUUAGCUAACUUGUCACAAAAGAGAUCUCUAAAUCAGACACCGAGUUAUGGCAGUUUAGUUGUGAUGUUCCUUUACUUAGCUUGUUGGAUUGGAACUCGUCUUCAGCAGAACAAGAUUUACGACCUAGGAAUUGAAGAAUUGCAUCAUCUUUAUUUACAAGUAAAUUGGCUCAUUCAUGUUGAAUUUUGG